AUCACUCGGCUCGUGGAUCGAUGAAGACCGCAGCUAAAUGCGCGUCACAAUGUGAACUGCAGGACACAUGAACACCGAUAAGUUGAACGCAUAUUGCGCAUCGUGCGACACAGCUCGAUGUACACAUUUUUGAGUGCCCAUAUUUGAUCAUAACCCAAGCCAAACGGCGUACCUCACCGUACGUGGAGUUGAUGAAAGGGUCUGGAUACGCCAUCCUUUCUCUUGCAUCGAAGUCGUAGCGUGUAGCAACCCCAGGUUUCAACUUGCAAAGUGGCCAUGGGGCUGACACCUCACCACCAUCAGCGUGCUGUGUAGCGUGUUCGGCCCAGUUCGGUCAUCGUGAGGCGUUACCUAACGGAGAAGCACCAGCUGCUGCGUGUAUCUCAUGGUUACCCCCAACCAUAGCAGCAGAGAUACAAGACCAGCUCCUAGCAGCGGGAGCUCAUGGGUCUCAAAUAAUGUGAGACUACCCCCUAAAUUUAAGCAU
rnacentral:rRNA from 1 species